rnacentral:rRNA from 1 species
UACGUAGGGUGCAAGCGUUAAUCGGAAUUACUGGGCGUAAAGCGUGCGCAGGCGGUUGUGCAAGACAGAGGUGAAAUCCCCGGGCUUAACCUGGGAAUGGCCUUUGUGACUGCACGGCUAGAGUGUGUCAGAGGGGGGUAGAAUUCCACGUGUAGCAGUGAAAUGCGUAGAGAUGUGGAGGAAUACCGAUGGCGAAGGCAGCCCCCUGGGAUAACACUGACGCUCCAUGCACGAAAGCGUGGGGAGCAAACAGG